UUAAAUGCUCUAAACAUGUAAAAGCAUCUGGUCAUACGAACAACUCAGAGCAACAAAAGGAGAGGCAAGCAAGCAGAAAACCAUUUAGCUGUUCUGAUCAGAGUAAAAGACAGAAACAGAAGGUUUCUCUGAACAAACGCAUUAGAAUUCAGACACAACAAAAAACAUUUGACUGUUCUGAAUGUGGA